GACGAACGCUGGCGGCGUGCUUAACACAUGCAAGUCGAACGGAAAGGCCCUGCUUUUGUGGGGUGCUCGAGCGGCGAACGGGUGAGUAACACGUGAGUAACCUGCCCUCGACUUUGGGAUAACUUCAGGAAACUGGGGCUAAUACCGGAUAGGAGCUCCUGCUGCAUGGUGGGGGUUGGAAAGUUUCGGCGGUUGGGGAUGGACUCGCGGCUUAUCAGCUUGUUGGUGGGGUAGUGGCUUACCAAGGCUUUGACGGGUAGCCGGCCUGAGAGGGUGACCGGCCACAUUGGGACUGAGAUACGGCCCAGACUCCUACGGGAGGCAGCAGUGGGGAAUAUUGCACAAUGGGCGGAAGCCUGAUGCAGCAACGCCGCGUGCGGGAUGACGGCCUUCGGGUUGUAAACCGCUUUCGCCUGUGACGAAGCGUGAGUGACGGUAAUGGGUAAAGAAGCACCGGCUAACUACGUG
rnacentral:rRNA from 1 species